UACGAAGGGGGCUAGCGUUGUUCGGAAUUACUGGGCGUAAAGCGCGCGCAGGCGGUCCUUCAAGUCAGAGGUGAAAGCCCAGAGCUCAACUCUGGAAUGGCCUUUGAGACUAGAGGACUUGGGUACGGGAGAGGUGAGUGGAAUUCCGAGUGUAGAGGUGAAAUUCGUAGAUAUUCGGAAGAACACCAGUGGCGAAGGCGGCUCACUGGCCCGUUACCGACGCUCAGGCGCGACAGCGUGGGGAUCAAACAGG
rnacentral:rRNA from 1 species